rnacentral:rRNA from 1 species
AGUGAACGCUGGCGGUAGGCCUAACACAUGCAAGUCGAACGGCAGCACAGUAAGAGCUUGCUCUUACGGGUGGCGAGUGGCGGACGGGUGAGGAAUACAUCGGAAUCUACUUUUUCGUGGGGGAUAACGUAGGGAAACUUACGCUAAUACCGCAUACGACCUACGGGUGAAAGCAGGGGAUCUUCGGACCUUGCGCGAUUGAAUGAGCCGAUGUCGGAUUAGCUAGUUGGCGGGGUAAAGGCCCACCAAGGCGACGAUCCGUAGCUGGUCUGAGAGGAUGAUCAGCCACACUGGAACUGAGACACGGUCCAGACUCCUACGGGAGGCAGCAGUGGGGAAUAUUAGACAAUGGGCGCAAGCCUGAUCCAGCCAUACCGCGUGGGUGAAGAAGGCCUUCGGGUUGUAAAGCCCUUUUGUUGGGAAAGAAAAGCAGCAGGUUAAUACCCCGCUGUUCUGACGGUACCCAAAGAAUAAGCACCGGCUAACUUCGU